rnacentral:rRNA from 1 species
CUACUCUUGACAUCCAGAGAAUUCGCUAGAGAUAGCUUAGUGCCUUCGGGAACUCUGAGACAGGUGCUGCAUGGCUGUCGUCAGCUCGUGUUGUGAAAUGUUGGGUUAAGUCCCGCAACGAGCGCAACCCUUAUCCUUUGUUGCCAGCGCGUAAUGGUGGGAACUCAAAGGAGACUGCCGGUGAUAAACCGGAGGAAGGUGGGGAUGACGUCAAGUCAUCAUGGCCCUUACGAGUAGGGCUACACACGUGCUACAAUGGCGUAUACAAAGAGAAGCGAACUCGCGAGAGCCAGCGGACCUCAUAAAGUACGUCGUAGUCCGGAUCUGAGUCUGCAACUCGACUCCGUGAAGUCGGAAUCGCUAGUAAUCGUAGAUCAGAAUGCUACGGUGAAUACGUUCCC